AUUGAACGCUGGCGGCAGGCCUAACACAUGCAAGUCGAACGGAGCGGCGGACGGGUGAGUAAUGCCUAGGAAUCUGCCUGGAGGUGGGGGAUAACGUCAGGAAACGGACGCUAAACCCGAAUACAAUCACAUGAGACUAGGUCGGAUUAGGUAUAUGGUGUGGUAAAGUCAUACCAAGGCGACGAUCCGUAACUGGUCUGAGAGGAUGAUCAGUCACACUGGAACUGAGACACGGUCCAGACUCCUACGGGAGGCAGCAGUGGGGAAUAUUGGACAAUGGGCGAAAGCCUGAGCCAGCCAUGCCGCGUGUGUGAAGAAGGUCUUCGGAUUGUAAAGUACUUUAAGUUGGGAGGCGUUACCUACAGAAUAAGCACCGGCUAACUUCGUGCCAGCAGCCGCGGUAAUUC
rnacentral:rRNA from 1 species